GUGGGGAAUUUUCCGCAAUGGGCGAAAGCCUGACGGAGCAACGCCGCGUGAGGGAUGAAGGCCUCUGGGCUGUAAACCUCUUUUCUCAAGGAAGAAGACCUGACGGUACUUGAGGAAUAAGCCACGGCUAAUUCCGUGCCAGCAGCCGCGGUAAUACGGGAGUGGCAAGCGUUAUCCGGAAUUAUUGGGCGUAAAGCGUCCGCAGGCGGCUUUACAAGUCUGUCGUUAAAGCGUGGAGCUUAACUCCAUUUAAGCGAUGGAAACUGUAAGGCUUGAGUGUGGUAGGGGCAGAGGGAAUUCCCGGUGUAGCGGUGAAAUGCGUAGAUAUCGGGAAGAACACCAGUGGCGAAGGCGCUCUGCUGGGCCAUAACUGACGCUCAUGGACGAAAGCCAGGGGAGCGAAAGGGAUUAGAAACCCCAGUAGUCC
rnacentral:rRNA from 1 species